rnacentral:lncRNA from 1 species
UCAUAUCAGUGGUCUCUGGUCGAACCCACCAUCCCCCCUCUCUAUCCCCACUUUUCCUCCACUUCUUUCCCACCCUGCUUAGUUCUCCUCUUCAGAGCUGCUUACGAGGCCAGACAGUCAGCCCCUGAUGGAGCCAAAGAAAGUCAAGCUUUAAUGCUUAAUGGAGAUAACCAUGUUCACUAUGUAAGAGCCUCCGCAGUGUGCGUGUGCCUGCGUUCAUGCGCGUGUGUGCACGUGUAUGUGCAUGUGACAGUAAUCAAUUAAGGCAGCUGUAACUGCAAGCAUUCCUACAGAUUAUAAAGGAUACGUUUUCUUCAUGCUGAAUUGACCCAGUGUGUCAUUACACACCAUACCGUUCCACAAUGAUUACAACCCUAUCUUCAUGCCCUUCAUACUACAUGUUAUCCGUGUUGCUGAGAAGUCCCACCCUAGAAGUAACCCCACCCCUCAGUUCACCCCUCAGCCUCAGCCUCCUCCCAGAUAGAGGGCUUUUGUUCUGCAUCUAAUGUUUUCAUUAGGAAACUGGGCGCAACCAAGGGCGCGAGAGUGAGUGCAGGGCAAAGAGUGAGGGAGGAGAGAGAGAGAGAGAGAAGGAAGGAAGGAAAAAAUUGCAUACAGUCUAGGUUAGCAUUCAGGAGAUUUUUGGGCACUGAAUACACUCUCCUCUCCUCCGCCAUGACCCGCCCUGCCACCAUCUCACUUGGACUUCUGCUCCUCCUUAUUGCCUACACAGCUGCAGGACCUGAGUCUGAGCUCCAACCCAGAGCUGUCCGGUCGAGUGCCUGUCAGGACCACAGUACUCUUCAUGACAGACUGGAUGUAGUGGAGAAGCGUGUAGAGGACACAGUCCAGAAGCUAGAGGCUGAGCUGGCUGUGCUACUGGAUGCCAUAGAGGCCCCUGAGUGGAGCCCCCUGCUGGAAACUGCUGGAAAACCUGUGGUGGACAUCCUGGACGGCCAGGGACUGGGAGAAGGUGGCGACUCCUGA